GGGUUGUGAGGUUAAGCGACUAAGCGUACACGGUGGAUGCCCUGGCAGUCAGAGGCGAUGAAGGACGUGCUAAUCUGCGAUAAGCGUCGGUGAGGUGAUAUGAACCGUUAUAACCGGCGAUUUCCGAAUGGGGAAACCCAGUGUGUUUCGACACACUAUCAUUAACUGAAUCCAUAGGUUAAUGAGGCGAACCGGGGGAACUGAAACAUCUAAGUACCCCGAGGAAAAGAAAUCAACCGAGAUUCCCCAGUAGCGGCGAGCGAACGGGAGGAGCCCAGAGCCUGAAUCAGUGUGUGUGUUAGUGGAAGCGUCUGGAAAGGCGCGCGAUACAGGGUGACAGCCCCGUACACAAAAAUACACAUAUUGUGAGCUCGAUGAGUAGGGCGGGACACGUGGUAUCCUGUCUGAAUAUGGGGGGACCAUCCUCCAAGGCUAAAUACUCCUGACUGACCGAUAGUGAACCAGUACCGUGAGGGAAAGGCGAAAAGAACCCCGGCGAGGGGAGUGAAAAAGAACCUGAAACCGUGUACGUACAAGCAGUGGGAGCCUCUUUAUGGGGUGACUGCGUACCUUUUGUAUAAUGGGUCAGCGACUUAUAUUCUGUAGCAAGGUUAACCGAAUAGGGGAGCCGAAGGGAAACCGAGUCUUAACUGGGCGUUAAGUUGCAGGGUAUAGACCCGAAACCCGGUGAUCUAGCCAUGGGCAGGUUGAAGGUUGGGUAACACUAACUGGAGGACCGAACCGACUAAUGUUGAAAAAUUAGCGGAUGACUUGUGGCUGGGGGUGAAAGGCCAAUCAAACCGGGAGAUAGCUGGUUCUCCCCGAAAGCUAUUUAGGUAGCGCCUCGUGAAUUCAUCUCCGGGGUAGAGCACUGUUUCGGCAAGGGGGUCAUCCCGACUUACCAACCCGAUGCAAACUGCGAAUACCGGAGAAUGUUAUCACGGGAGACACACGGCGGGUGCUAACGUCCGUCGUGAAGAGGGAAACAACCCAGACCGCCAGCUAAGGUCCCAAAGUCAUGGUUAAGUGGGAAACGAUGUGGGAAGGCCCAGACAGCCAGGAUGUUGGCUUAGAAGCAGCCAUCAUUUAAAGAAAGCGUAAUAGCUCACUGGUCGAGUCGGCCUGCGCGGAAGAUGUAACGGGGCUAAACCAUGCACCGAAGCUGCGGCAGCGACACUAUGUGUUGUUGGGUAGGGAGCGUUCUGUAAGCCUGUGAAGGUGGCCUGUGAGGGUUGCUGGAGGUAUCAGAAGUGCGAAUGCUGACAUAAGUAACGAUAAAGCGGGUGAAAAGCCCGCUCGCCGGAAGACCAAGGGUUCCUGUCCAACGUUAAUCGGGGCAGGGUGAGUCGACCCCUAAGGCGAGGCCGAAAGGCGUAGUCGAUGGGAAACAGGUUAAUAUUCCUGUACUUGGUGUUACUGCGAAGGGGGACGGAGAAGGCUAUGUUGGCCGGGCGACGGUUGUCCCGGUUUAAGCGUGUAGGCUGGUUUUCCAGGCAAAUCCGGAAAACCAAGGCUGAGGCGUGAUGACGAGGCACUACGGUGCUGAAGCGACAAAUGCCCUGCUUCCAGGAAAAGCCUCUAAGCAUCAGGUAACAUCAAAUCGUACCCCAAACCGACACAGGUGGUCAGGUAGAGAAUACCAAGGCGCUUGAGAGAACUCGGGUGAAGGAACUAGGCAAAAUGGUGCCGUAACUUCGGGAGAAGGCACGCUGAUAUGUAGGUGAAGCGACUUGCUCGUGGAGCUGAAAUCAGUCGAAGAUACCAGCUGGCUGCAACUGUUUAUUAAAAACACAGCACUGUGCAAACACGAAAGUGGACGUAUACGGUGUGACGCCUGCCCGGUGCCGGAAGGUUAAUUGAUGGGUUAGCGGUAACGCGAAGCUCUUGAUCGAAGCCCCGGUAAACGGCGGCCGUAACUAUAACGGUCCUAAGGUAGCGAAAUUCCUUGUCGGGUAAGUUCCGACCUGCACGAAUGGCGUAAUGAUGGCCAGGCUGUCUCCACCCGAGACUCAGUGAAAUUGAACUCGCUGUGAAGAUGCAGUGUACCCGCGGCAAGACGGAAAGACCCCGUGAACCUUUACUAUAGCUUGACACUGAACAUUGAGCCUUGAUGUGUAGGAUAGGUGGGAGGCUUUGAAGUGUGGACGCCAGUCUGCAUGGAGCCGACCUUGAAAUACCACCCUUUAAUGUUUGAUGUUCUAACGUUGGCCCGUAAUCCGGGUUGCGGACAGUGUCUGGUGGGUAGUUUGACUGGGGCGGUCUCCUCCUAAAGAGUAACGGAGGAGCACGAAGGUUGGCUAAUCCUGGUCGGACAUCAGGAGGUUAGUGCAAUGGCAUAAGCCAGCUUGACUGCGAGCGUGACGGCGCGAGCAGGUGCGAAAGCAGGUCAUAGUGAUCCGGUGGUUCUGAAUGGAAGGGCCAUCGCUCAACGGAUAAAAGGUACUCCGGGGAUAACAGGCUGAUACCGCCCAAGAGUUCAUAUCGACGGCGGUGUUUGGCACCUCGAUGUCGGCUCAUCACAUCCUGGGGCUGAAGUAGGUCCCAAGGGUAUGGCUGUUCGCCAUUUAAAGUGGUACGCGAGCUGGGUUUAGAACGUCGUGAGACAGUUCGGUCCCUAUCUGCCGUGGGCGCUGGAGAACUGAGGGGGCUGCUCCUAGUACGAGAGGACCGGAGUGGACGCAUCACUGGUGUUCGGGUUGUCAUGCCAAUGGCACUGCCCGGUAGCUAAAUGCGGAAGAGAUAAGUGCUGAAAGCAUCUAAGCACGAAACUUGCCCCGAGAUGAGUUCUCCCUGACUCCUUGAGAGUCCUGAAGGAACGUUGAAGACGACGACGUUGAUAGGCCGGGUGUGUAAGCGCAGCGAUGCGUUGAGCUAACCGGUACUAAUGAACCGUGAGGCUUAACCUUACAACGCCGAAG
rnacentral:rRNA from 1 species